UUUUGUGUUUUUUAUUUUUUAAUUUUAUUUUUGUAAAAUGUUUUAAUUUUUAUGUUUUUUGGGAUAAGUGUUUAAAAUUUGUUUUGUGAACUGGAUUAGUACCCAGGUAAUCAAAAUUUAUUAAUUCGGGAGUAAAGUUGUGUUUAAACCGAAAGAAUAUUGACUGACUUUAGAUUUUUCUUUGGAAUAUGUGCUAGGAUAGCCCUCUUUAUUGGUAAAUUUUUUUGGCACAUGUAUGAUUGUUUUGUUAUUAUGUUAUUUGUUAGUGCUUUAAACUUUUUUAGUUUUAAAACAGAUAUAUAUUUGGCUUAUAAAUUUUUUUGCAUGUAUUACUAUUGUUAAUUUUCUUUGGAUAUUUUUUUUAUUUUUUUUUGAAAUUGGAAAAGAAAGUAAUUUAUUUUUUAGUGUUUUGGUGAAUUU
rnacentral:rRNA from 1 species